AUGAUGGGUAGGGGAGCUUCCCAUACGGGUUGAAGCAUGACCGUAAGGACAUGUGGACAGUAUGGGAGUGAGAAUGUUGGCAUGAGUAGCGAGAUGUGGGUGGGAAUCCCACAGGCCGUAAACCCAAGGUUUCCAGGGGAAGGUUCGUCCGCCCUGGGUUAGUCGGGACCUAAGCUGAGGCCGAAAGGCGUAGGUGAUGGACAAC
rnacentral:rRNA from 1 species